rnacentral:lncRNA from 1 species
AGUUAUGUACACAUGUGAAGAUCAUGGUAUAAAGAGAUGGACCAUCUUCUCUUUGUUAGAGCAUCUCCAACGGUGCUCCUAAAUCAUUCUCUAAACAAUAAUAUAAAAUGUGACUCCUAGUAAGUUAAUACACCGGAAAAUGUGAGAACUGCAAUGCUACUCUUUAUAUUUGGCUCCUUAUUCACAUUUCAUAUUUAUUUUAUAUAAAUGAGAGGAAAAAGUUAACUAAAAGAAAGAGAAGAUUGAAGGAAAAAUAAUAUAAUAUUGAGUUAGGAGCUACUAGAUGCUCUUUAAAAGAAAGGAGAGAGAGUAGGCUCCUAAAUUUUUAAAAAGCAUCUAGCAGCCCAUUGGAGCACUAAAUUUUAACUUGUUCCUAAAUUUUAGACUUAGGAGCUUGUUUAGAGAGCCCCUUGGAGUUGCUCUUAGCAAACAAAAAGCCCACAUGUAGCUGUAAUGCGUAUGAAAGCUCCUUUCCCUCUUGUCUCUCCAACACUUUAAAGUCGUCGAUUUAUCUCUAUCAACUUAUAACCCAUCCAAGAUGCUAUCUCACCUUCACAGCUCGAAGACACGGCUCUGUUUCUGUCAUAGUGUCAUUGUUUGCUACUUGUUUAAAAAUGAAAAAAAUUAUUUCCCUGUUUAAAGAAACAAGGUUUUUUUCUCCUAACCAACCCUCGUUUACAUAAAUUAGCAUUAUCCAAGCAUUGCCUCAUCAAUACACAUGAUAUAUUGAUGAAGAUGCCA